UGCCGUAGUGGGAUGUCUGAUGCUCAUAUGCAAUAAAAAUAUGCUCUCCGUUCUUGACCAACACAGCACCUGAAGGAUGUGAAGCAUGUCCAUGUGCACCUACGUAGAGCUCAAAGUGGUAGGCUCCUCUUACUGGUGCAAUGAAAAAACCUGUGGGAGAGUUUUUGUCAGUGAAUGUAACCUGAGAAUCAUCUGUUGAUGAUCUAGUUGGAGGCAACAUAGACAAAAAGGCAAAAUAGAAAUUUAAAUUUGUGAAUUCAAGUACCUGUGUUUGGGUUGUAGGCAUUUCCGAUGUUUGUGAUGACGUAUCUGAAGACCAGAGGAGUGUGUGUGUUAAAUGGUCCGACAGUUCCUGAGCCUGAAGCCAACAGAGAAGCUGAGAAAGCCACCUGUUUGACUGAGAGAGAGAGAAACAUACUCGUUUUAAAGAGGAUGAUGUUGCAGCAAUGUGAUGGUUACAAGCCUCCACAUGGUUUUCUGUGACAUUUGUCCUGGCUUUCAUGGAGAUCAGCUCUGCUGCCUGUGCUGAAAUUCAUCAAAAAUUUAGCAUAGUGAAAUAAAUGAUUGUCUCCAAUGAAAACAAUCUUUGACCGUU